AUUUGCAUAGUUUAAAUAAAACCUUACAUUUUCAUUGUAAAAUUGAAUAAUCUUCUGCAAAUU
rnacentral:tRNA from 1 species